rnacentral:rRNA from 1 species
ACUCAAAUGAAUUGACGGGGGCCCGCACAAGCGGUGGAGCAUGCGGUUUAAUUCGAUGUUACGCGAAAAACCUUACCAAUCCUUGACAUGGUGGUCGCGGAGAGUGGAGACACACUCCUUCAGUUCGGCUGGACCACACACAGGUGUUGCAUGGCUGUCGUCAGCUCGUGUCGUGAGAUGUUGGGUUAAGUCCCGCAACGAGCGCAACCCUCAUCCUUAUUUGCCAGCGAGUUAUGUCGGGAACUAUAAGGAAACUGCCGGUGAUAAGCCGGAGGAAGGUGGGGACGAUGUCAAGUCAUCAUGGCCCUUAUGGAUUGGGCUACACGCGUGCUACAAUGGUAUCUACAGAGGGAAGCAAUACAGCGAUGUGGAGCAAAUCCUUAAAAGAUAUCUCAGUUCGGAUUGCACUCUGCAACUCGAGUGCAUGAAGUUGGAAUCGCUAGUAAUCGCGGAUCAGAAUGUCGCGGUGAAUACGUUCCCGGGCCUUGUACACACCGCCCGU